ensembl:ribozyme RNaseP_nuc Nuclear RNase P
CUGGGAGGAAGCUCUCCAUAGAGGCCCACGUGCUGGGUGUCCAUCACCCUUUAUCCUGCCUCUGGGAAGGUCUGAGAGAAGGGCCAAGUUUGCCACCCUAGCAGGGUGCCACCUUCUGAAGGUGGGUGAGUUCCCAGCAAUGCGGGUGUACACUGCUAGACUGAUCAGUUGCGUAAAAGCCAGAACUUGAACAGAUGAAAUUACAAAGAUGUCAAGCUCCAUAUGCAAAAAGGGAUACUUUCCCCAUUUUUGCCAG